rnacentral:rRNA from 1 species
UGCGGAGGAUGCGAGCGUUAUCCGGAUUUAUUGGGUUUAAAGGGUGCGUAGGCGGACGCUUAAGUCAGCGGUAAAAUUGCGGGGCUCAACCUCGUCGAGCCGUUGAAACUGGGUGCCUUGAGUGGGCGAGAAGUACGCGGAAUGCGUGGUGUAGCGGUGAAAUGCAUAGAUAUCACGCAGAACUCCGAUUGCGAAGGCAGCGUACCGGCGCCCAACUGACGCUGAAGCACGAAGGCGUGGGUAUCGAACAGG